ACAAAACAGGCUUCUAUAAUAAUAACAAGGUGAAGGGAAAGUUCUAGAAAGACCAACACUAAAAUGUUACCAGUUAUGAUUAGAAGGGGAGGGACCACGUCUUUCUAGAUGCACUUCUAUAGUCUUAGAACAUUUUUGUCUAGCCAUUUCCUUUAUAGUUUUAUAAAAAUAAAAUGUAGAUGUAACGAAAUGUAGGAGCAGGAUCGAUAGUAGGUAUAAGCGCAGGCCAACAACACAGUGCAUACCGUAUGCAUGUUCUGCAGAGAGCCAAGUAUGUCAAGUUGGGAGUUCUUCAGGGGUGUGGCCUGGCCAGAGGUCUGUUACAUGUCAGGGUCUAGCCUCCACACAGGAUCAGAGUUCUCAGCUGGAAGCAGGGUUUCCAGAAGACACAUAAAAAAUAUACAUAGACUACUUUUCCGGUACAAGCUGACAGGCAAGUUUUUAAGGCUUAAAGUUUCUCUCUCUCUCACUCUCUGUUCUCUUUCUCGUUCGCUCACUCGCUCGCUCACAGCUUGAGGCUGCACACACUCUGUAUUUUCUUGUACACUCUGUUUUUUCUCCUAUGCACCUUUCUUUUCUCAAACUCUCAUACUCCUAUACACCUCUGAGUGUUCUCCUUUCAUUCACACACACUCUCUCCAUACAAACCUCACAUGCUCUCCUCACUCACUCUCACAUGCUCUUCUCACUCACUCUCACAUGCUCUCCUCACUCACUCUCACAUGCUCUUCUCACUCACUCUCACAUGCUCUCCUCACUCACUCUCACUUGCUCUUCUCAUGCUCUCUCUCACUCUUCAUUCGCUCUCCACAUUCACCUCACAUGCUCUCUCAGUCUCUCUUGUCUUUUUCUUUUCUCAGUCUUUUAUUGCUACUCCAAAAGCAGGUAGAAAAAAAAAAGAUAUUGUAUAAUCAUUACCAAAUCAAAUUCAAAAGAAUAACCACGUUCCAUAAAGAAUUAAGAAUUACAAUUGUUCUCCAAAGUUUCACGCUUCCCCUAUUCCCAGGCCUAUAGCCAAAGUAAUAAUAAUUGUAAAUUUACCAUCAUUUAAACUUUAACUUUUGACUUAUUAUACUUUAGAGCUCAGAGCUCUGAGGUCAGCUACCUGCAGUUUCCUGUGAAGCUCCAAUGAUAACCGAGAUGGGCAAAGCUGCCAGGCAGUGGCCAGAAAGACUCAGGUUAACCCUUAACUCAGCAGUUCCGCUAGCUUUCUGCUUCUGCACAUUGCACACAAUGACUCUCGUAAGAGUCCCAGUGUUUUGACUUAGUUUUACUAGUAUAAGAUUUUACAUAUCCUAUACUCGUUUAUCCAGGAACCGCUCUUAAAUGUUGUGUAAAACUUAUUUCAUAACUUCAAUAGUUUUUUCCUUUCUUAGGGUCCUAAUGUUGGCUCUAUUUCAUUUUCUAAUAAUUUCUUCAAACUUUCUUUGUAAGUCAAGCAUUAAUCUGGAACUACCACUGUGCAGUUCUUUCAUUGUUUCCAAGAUGAGAGUGCACAGCAUGUACCUAAGCCAUUAGGACUGGGCUGUGCUGUGCCCCUGUGCCUCAGUUUUUAAUUGUUUAAGAAUCAUUAUAUCAAGGAACAUCUAGUUUCACAAAAUUCACCAGAACAGAAGGAGAAAGAAGUAAAAAAGUCAGAUAUAAGAAAAUAAUUAUGCACACCAAAACCAACUGAAAAACAGUCACACACAAAUGAAAUCUAUGCAGCUGUUGUCCAGGGCUAAAGUUAGGAGAAAUGGGAACAGCUGAAAUGAGAAAUGGGAAAUGGGAGCUGCCGUGGGCUACUGAGAUGUCUCCAUCCUGGCCUACUGAGAGCAGUCCCUUAUUUCUGAUGGCAAAUCCCCUGGAUGGAUAUGCCUUCUGCUCCUCAGGGUCCCAGACACCAUCCUUUUAUAUAAGGAGCUGCUGAGAGCUUCUGAGAUGUCUCCAUCCUGGCCUACUGAGAGCAGUCCCUGUCACUGUAUCCCCAGCAGUUAUGACCUCAGCUGUCUUUGAACUGUUAGUCCUCUUGUCCUUGUCAAAGAUCAGAAAAAAUAAAUAAAUAAAUAAAAUUAGCCUCU
rnacentral:lncRNA from 1 species